AAAUAGGUUUUUUAUGGAGACGAAGGAAAGUGGCCAAAUGUGGCCAUUGUUUAGUUGCAUGGACCUAAGUGUGCCAUCCCAAAGAGCUUCGUGGUCUUGGAAUUUCCAACCUCAAACUUUUUUUUUCGAAAACGCAGGAGAGCUGCGUAUCAUUAUAUUAAGAAGAAAAGGUGAGGAUAAAAACCUCUUACAAUGCCACACGAACCCACACACACUAAAGGAUAGCUGGAAAUACAACGAUAGUAUGAACAACUAUACUCAUGACCAUGGAAACCCAAAACAGAAGGUCGCCGAUUAGUGCGCUGGAGCGGAAAGGAUGCUAUCUAAUCCACUGGCUCCAGCCCUACACCAGAGGUGAGACUCCUCCUUGACCCACUUGAUGACCAUGCUAGAACAAGGCUGCACACCAUUGAAAACACAACGGUUGCGGUGAUUCCAGAUGGCCCAAGCUCCAAGUAUGAUCAAAGAAUUGAGGCCCUUAGACAGCCCCUUAUGCGUUGGAUCACCCGGGACCGUGACAACUCCUUCCCACCAAUCUUCAAAGGAGAUGGUUGUGAUUGAAGAAAAUAGAUCCUAAUCGUCCUUGGAUAGAUUUUCAUGUUCGAGUCCGUGACCAUGAGUGUGUUUAAGCUUUCUUCUCUAUUGCAGUGGUUUCAGAGAUUGGUAAUGGGGCUGCAACUUUGUUUUGGACUGACAUGGUGAUUUAUGACCAGAGUAUAGCUGAUCUUGCUACUCAAGUCUUGGUAUUACUUUCCAUAAAGAAAAGGAACAAGAGAACAGUUCUGGAAACAUUAACUAACCUUACCAGGGUUAGGGCUUGUUUGGUUAGGGACUUAGGGGUGGAUUGAAAGGGAUUGGAGGGAAUUAAUUCCCCUCCUAUUCAAAUUUGAAUAGGAGGGGUGUUAGAGUACUGUCAGGGCUGAUUUGGUGAUCAGGGAUCCUGAGGGGAUAUAUGGGGGAGGAAUCCCCUUGCUAUUCAAAUUUGAAUAACAAGGGGAUCACUCCCUCAUGGAUCCUCUGGUGAUCCAUGAUCACUAAAUCAGCCGUUAAGGUUUCGGGGCUAGUCCCUGUAUAAUUACUUGCAUACCCUCAAUGUAAUGGGCUUGGCCCAAUUACUCAACUUAUAUAUAUAUACACACAUGGUUAUGGUUUCCCACAUGGUAUCAACACUAUGUUAAUUCUUCUUUUCCCACUUCUCUCUCUCCCACCCAGGUGACGGCUGCCCUCCACAGCCACCGCCCCCCUCCACAGCCGUCGCCGGCCCCCUCUACUCCGGUCACCGCCGACUCCCUCAGCUCCGGCCACCGCCGGACCUCUCCCCCCGCCGUCGGCCCCUCUGCUCCGGCCACCGACGACUCCCUCAGCUCCGGCCGCCGCUGGACCCCUGUGCUUUAGUAGCCGCCUCCCCAUGGCGGCCCUCCCCCAGCUACCACCGGCGCAGAUAGCCCAGGCACCGCCGCCCCGGCUAUUGCCGUGGGCCUGGCCGCCGCACCACCCAGCCCUGGCGCGACCACCACCGCCGCGGCCCUGCCCGUGCGGGCCAGGCCACCUCCCGGGCCACGGACGCCGCUGGGUUUUCACAAUGGGAUUUAAUCCCCUCCAAUCCCCCUCAAUCCACCUCAAACCGAACAAGACCUUAGGGAUAUUCAGGGCGCCUUAUCUGCUGCAUUUUUCAUAGAGUAUUUUGCCAUUAGAGAUAUAAUCUCAGAAGUGGUACUACAACCAGAGGUGGAAGACACUCAUGUUUGGAGGUUCUCUUGUGAUGGGGAGCGUUCAGCAAAAUCUGCUUAUGAAAGCCUGUUUCUUGGUACAAUAAUUUUCAGAUCUUCGGAGAGGAUUUGGAAAACUUGGGCACAUGGGAAAUGUCAUUUUUUAUGUGGUUAGUGACUCAUAAAAGGUGUUGGACAGGUGAUCGGUUAGCACAAAAGGGGCUUUCUCACCCUUCUUGUUGCCCCCUUUGUGACUAAGAAGAGGAAAAUAUUAACCACCUGCUGUCAUCAUGUCUUUCCAUGAGAAUUUUGUUUUCUCUUUCUGCGCCGAGUUGGACCACACAGUCUCGCUCCCCUGUCAGACGAGAUCUUUGAUGAUUUGUGGGACAAAAGCUCAACAAGGGUGCCCGAUCAUAUAAGGGAUUCAAUUCCAUCAUCUUCGGGGCUUGGAUGUCGUGGAAUCUUUUAAUCAAUGUGUUUGAUGGUGAACCUCCUAGCCUAUUGCUUGCUAGUGAGGAGCUUCAUUUUUGGGGUUUUGCUAAGGCGGCAGACAUAAAUCAUAUCAUUGCCUAGGGGUUGUUUUUGUAUUGAGUGUGGUAGUUGUCGUCUCCAACUCUUGUUAAGGGCUGCUGUUUGAAGCCUCCCUUGUUUGAUCGGGUGGUUCUUUUCCUUGUUUCUCAAUAGAUCCAUAAAAAAAUUCUAGUUUGCAAUGUGGGAGGCCUCAAUCGCACGUGCUGGAGAGAUGCAGUCAGGGUCAUGGUUAACUCUACUAAACCUGAUUUGGUCUGUCUCCAGGAGACUAAAGGCAGCUAUUUCGAGACGGAUGGUAAUGUCGAUGUUGGGAUCUGAUUUUGAUGAAUUUAUUUUCCUUCUGGCUCUGGGCACCAGGGGUGGCAUCCUGUUGGCUUGGAAGAGUAGCAGUUGCACAGUACUUAAUAGUAGGGUCGACACUUCCUCAGUUUCUGUUCAGUUUGCUCAAGACAAUGGUAUUGGGUGGUGGUUCACAGGAGUCUAUGGUCCUCAGGCAGAUGAGCUCAAAAUUCAAUUCCUGCAUGAACUGCGUUCUGUCCGGUCGGUCUGCCAUGGUGCUUGGGCGGUGGGUGGUGACUUUAAUCUUAUAUACAAGGCCGAGGAUCAGAGCAAUACCAACCUUGAUAGGUCUAUGAUGGGUCAAUUUCGACGCUUCUUCAAUGAUCUUGAGCUGCAAGAGCUUGCCCUAAGUGGUAGAAGGUUUACCUGGUCGAAUGAGUGUGAAGCCCCUACGCUAGUACGACUAGACAGGGGUUUUCUCCUCUCAUUGGGAGAAUUUAUUUCCUAAUUGCAUCCUCCAGAGCUCUACGUCCACGAUUUUAGACCACUGCCCCCUUCUGCUGGGUUUGCAUGUGUUCUCCCAAGGGAGGAGACGAUUUCACUUUGAAUGUUUUUGGCCGCGCUUGGAGGGUUUUCUAGAAGAGGUGGAUUGUGUUUCUGAAAAAAGUAAAAUUUCCUAAUUGACUACUAAAAACUAAAAUGUACCUAGAAAGAAGACGAAUUUAUAGCCCUUUUCUUGAUAAACUCUUGCAUGUUGUGUUUGUACUGAUAAAUGGUGUGUUCCUCUUCCUUUGUAGGUACCAGGGGCAAGCAGGGCAGAAGAAACUCAGAGCCAUGUCCACAGAAUGUACUUCAUGGGACCUAAUACUUUCCGAGAGCCCUGGCAUCUCCCCUACUCACCUCCUGAUGCGAUAAUUGGAAUUGUGUAAGAUUAAUAAUAUUAGAAAUAUAGAGUAGCUAAGUGCCAUUCGAGAUUUGUAUUACUGUUAUUCACUUGACAUGAUGCAAGAAAAGUUAAUUUGCAGUAAAAGGAUUAUAUCAAAUUUUUAUUCUCGAAUGUGCAAGAGAACUGCACAUCUUUAUAUUAAGGGGGUGUUUGAAUGCACUAGAGCUAAUAGUUAGUGGCUAAAAUUAGUUGAGACAUCCAAACACCCUAGCUAAUAGUUUAGCUAUUAGCUAUUUUUGGUAAAUUAUUUUUUUUUCUAAAACGCGCAGGAGAACUGCGCAUUAGAUAUAUUAAGAUAGAAGAAAUACCAAUGGUCUAAAGAAGACCAUAGUACAGAGAAACAAC